AGGAUGCAGCCCUCCCACUGUGCACACCAGUUCCUUGCUCGGCACAGCUGCCUGCUCAGCUGGGGGUUGGAAAUCAGCACUGUGAGAAAAGACAGAAAUGACCGUGAUGCGUGCCUCUCUCUAUGAGGAAAAGAUUCAGUGCAACCCCAUCAAAAUUCUAACACAAUCUUGAAAGAAAAAAUUUUCAACUUCGUAUAGAAAAACAAAUAUCUGGGAUAGCAAAAAUGACCCUGAGCAAUAACAGAGCUUCUGUAGAUAUCAUUAUGCCUGACUUUAAGCUAUACUACAGAGUAACAGUAAUUUUAAAAAAUCCCUGCAUGAUAAUGGUAUAAAAACAACAGGUGGAUCAAUGGAAUCAAAUUAAAGACCCAGAAAUAAACCCACACAUCUUUUUAAACUUGAUUUUUUUUUUUUACAUAAAAGCCAAAACAAUAGAAUAGAAAAGGGAGAGCAUCUUCAACAAAUGGUGUUGGUUUAGCUGGAUAUCUCCAAAUAGAUCUAUAUCUAUCAUCCUGCACAAAACACAAGUCCAAUGGAUCAAAGAACUUAACAGAAAACCAGACACACUUAAUCCGAUAAAACAGAAAGUGGAGAAUAUCCUUGAACAGACAACUUCCUGAACAGAACCACAAUGGCUCAGGCACUAAGGUCAAGAGUUUAUAAGUAGGACCUCAUGAAACUGAAACAUUUUCAAAGGACACUGUCAUUAUGAUAAUAUGGCAGCCUACAAAUUGGAAAAAGAUCUUCACUAUCCAUACAUCUGACAGAGGGAUUAGUAUUCAAAUAACACAAAUAACCUAAUUAGAAGUGGGAUACAGAGCUAAACAAAGAAUUCUCAAGAGAGAAAUCUUGAAUAGCUGAGAAAUACCUAAAGAAAUGUUCAACAUCCUUAGUCAUCGGGGAAAUGCAAAUCAAGACAACCUUGAUAUUCCACCUUGCAUGCAUCAGAAUGGCUAAGAUCAAAACUCAAAGGACAGCACAUCCUGGCAAGGUAAUGGAGCAGAGGGUACACUCCUUCACUGCUGCUGGCAGUUCAAACUUGUACAACCACUCUGGAAAUUAACUUGGCAGUUUUUCAGAAGAUUGGGACUAGUUCUACCUCAAGUCGCAGAUAUACUACUUCUUGGCAUAUACCCAAAAGAUACUCUGCCAUCCCAUAAGUGGUUAUUCCUAAUAGCCAGAAGCUGGAAACAACCUAGAUGUCCUUUAACAGAAGAUUAGAUGAAGAAAAUGUGAUUUAUUUUCACAAUGGAAUACUACCCAGCCAUUAAAAAUAAGGACAUCAUGAAUUUCACAGGCAAAUGUAUGGAACUUGAGAAUAUCAUCAUGAGUGAGGUAAUUCAAACCCAAAAGGAGAUGCAUGACAGGAACCUAACAUAACUGUCCUAUGAGAAGCUCCACCCAGCAGCCAAUGGGAGGAGAUGCAGUAACUCACAUUAGAUGGAGUUGGGAGAAAGACUGAGGGACCCGAAGAGGACAGGGACUCUACAGGAACAUCAACAAAGUCAACUAACCUGGACCCUUGGAGGCUCCCAGAGACUAAAUCACCAACCAAAGAACAAGCAUGAGCUGAACCUAGGAUCUCUGCACAUAUGUAACAAAUGAGCAGCUUGGUUUUAAUCCUGGUCUCCUAACAGCUGGAGCAGGGGUUGUCCCUGAGCCUGCUGCCUUCUGGCCUGCCUGUGGAACCUGUGCUCCUAAUGGAUCGCCUUGUCUGGCCUCAGUGGGAGAGGAUGUGCUUAUUACCACAGUGAUGUGAGGUGUAAAGUGUCAGAAACCAGACCUUGAAAAAUGCCAAGAUGGAGUUGAAGAAGAUCUCUCUGGAGGAAGACAGCAGGACGUGUGCUAUGGAGAGGAAACUGGGAAAGAUGGAGAUGAGAAAUUGCCUGUAGGGGAGGAAGUAGAAGCAAUACCAAAGGGGAUAGUGGGAGGAGGGGUUGAAAGGCCAUAGAUAAAUAUAUUUUAUGUUGACAUAAAAAUUGCAUGCACUAUAUGUAAAGGUAUGUACUUACAUAUAUAAUUAGCUAAAUGAAGAUAUGCCACUUGAGGCAAUAGCCAUAGACCAUAUGGCAAAAUCUCCAGGACUUCCUUCAACUUGUUGGUCAAGGGAACCUAAGAGGCUCUGAAAAUAAUAUAGGUGAUUGCCAAAGCACUUGGCUAAAUCUCAGAACUUUUAGGUAAAGUCCUAUUGUAGAAAACACCAUGUAGGUCAGACACAGGAUUGGGUGGAGCCAAGCUAAGCUUGAACUGACCAGGAAUCCCCUCCCUGAGGUCUGCUCCGAUAGUGCAGGAAGAGGCUAUGAAAGCUGCAGGGAAGAUAAACAACUAAAAUCCUACCGAGCUGUGAAGUCUAAGAACCAAGCCAUGGCCAGCUCAGCAGAUAUUCCCAUGACAAGCUAACAAGUCAACUGUGACUCCAUUUUCUGGCAUUCAUAAGCUCUCCACUCAGAAGCACAUAUCCCCUAAUAUACUGACAUAUACAAAUACAUAAAUUAAAACUUAUAAAAUAAAUCCUGGAAAAGAAUUUAUGCCGUCAGUAUUAUAUCCCCUUUAUUAUGUCCUUGAGUGUGAGAUUAUAGGUUUCCAUAUAAGUUUUUCAUAACUCUUUGAUUAAGCCUUCUUCCACCCCCUCAUUUUGCCAUAUGCUAAUACCUUCCAUGUUUGAAUCUUAGUUCGUCAAAUAUCCCUCAUAUUUAAUCCUAUUUUACCUCUGUUUCUGCACCUCCACUUUCAUGGUGAGUCUUUCUUCAAUUACAAGGAUUCCACAUAUACUCCAAAGUUAAACAUCUGAAGCAAAUUACUCAAGCUAGAAUCCACCUACAAGAGAGAACAUGCUGCAUUUGUCUUUCUGAGCCAUUGUGAUGUCAUCUAGCAUGAUACAGGUCAUCCAUUUCUAUGCAAAUUUUAUAAUAUCAUCUUUAGGAACCUGCUACAUUUGUCUUUCUGAGCCAGGAUGAUCUCACUUAGUAUGAUCUAUCCAGGUCACCCAUUUCUCUGCAGAAUAUGUGAUAUUGUUUUUAUUUGUAGCUAAGUAAUAGUCCACUUUGUAUAUGUAAUAGAUGUCUGUUAUCCAUUUAUCAGCUGAGGGACAUCUGGGUUGUUUCCAUUUCACAGCUACUGUGAAUCCAGAAGCCAGUGCUCAGCUCAGCUCAUCUAUAACAAUGUUUCUCAAUCUAAGGCUCAGAGAAUCACAGAAGAGUGGGCGAAAAGAAGGGGAGAGACGGGGAAAGGAGAGGAGAACAGUAAAAUCCUGUCUCCUGCAUGUGCAUGGCAGACACACAAGUCAUGUGACCAUAGCUACAAUUGUCUGCACAGAUACAGAUAAGAUAAAGCUCAUUUAAAUUCUAGCAUGGAUAGGGAAGGAGUCCUGAGACCCCCAUCCCUAGAUCAAGAACCAUUGGCAGUUGAUGGUAGACAGAGAGUCACUUUCUUUGGGCUAGGUAGUACGUGGUUCCUGUCUCAGUGCAUAACCCCACAUCCUUUUUGCACAUAGGAAGCACUAAUUGGAUUCAGUGGGCUAUUAACAACAAC
ensembl:lincRNA Gm2824 uncharacterized LOC110311082